rnacentral:rRNA from 1 species
CCUACGGGGAGCAGCAGUGGGGAAUCUUGCGCAAUGCUCGUAAGAGUGACGCAGCGACGCCGCGUGAAUGACGAAGGCCUUCGGGUCGUAAAGUUCUUUCGACAGGGAAGAAAAUGCCUAUAAGUAACUGUGUAUGUAUUGCCGGUACCUGUAUAAGCAGCCCCGGCUAACUCCGUGCCAGCAGCCGCGGUAAUACGGAGGGGGCGAGCGUUGUUCGGAGUGACUGGGCGUAAAGAGCACGUAGGCGGGGUUGUAAGUCAUUAGUCAAAGACUAGAGCUCAACUUUAGUAAGGCUAGUGAUACUAUAAUACGAGAGUAUCAGAGAGGAUUGCAGAAUUCCUGGUGUAGCGGUGAAAUGCGUAGAUAUCAGGAGGAAUACCGUUAGCGAAGGCGGCAAUCUGGCUGGAAACUGACGCUGAGGUGCGAAAGCGUGGGUAGCAAACAGGAUUAGAUACCCCGGUAGUC